CAGAGGCCUGAAGGCAGCUCAGAGAAAGGCUUUCGGAUGCACUUCAAAGGCAGCGUGUUUGAAAUAUAAACAGAGAGCGCCUUUGUGAUAACUAAUUUAAAUCUCUACAUAGAUCAACCUUAAUUAUCUACUUAUUUUUGCAGCAAAAGGCAAUGAUAUCUUUAUACCUGGCAGAAUAAAACUGGAUUCAGAUUCGACUCCUUUUCUAAAAGAGGAAGUUGACCUACAGAUGAAUAUCACAUUCAGUAAAGUAAUGGACAAAAGUGUUGGGUUUGUUCUCUAUGAUAGCGAUCAUUUCUUUCCAUCACAAAACUUUAAGCUUUCUCCGAAUACAAAGAGAAGAGUGUUCUCUGCUAACCUGUUCGAAAAUAGUUCUGACACCAUGGAAGUUCAGUUUUCAGUCACACCAUCGGAUGACUCUGUGAUGCCCCUCCACGACUUUGCAUGCGUGUUUUGGAGUUACAGCGAAAAUGACUGGAGUACAAAAGGCUGCACAAAAAAGAGUUUCUCGGGUCGCACACAGUGCACUUGUACAUCUUAUCAACGUGAAAAUAAUUUCAACUUAAAUAAGA